AUGUUUCUGGAACCAGCAAUGAGGCGACUUCUUGGUCAUGUCUGUAUGAUCCAUCAAAGUAGUGCCUUUGUGCCCAGAUCCCCCCAAUGCCCCCAGUUCCCAGUGAAGAUGCAUGAGUCUGAGGCUUUAUUUUACCCGUCAAGGAAAUCUCACCGAAACAAAUGAGGACUGCUAUCAAGUUUUAGAACCAGUCUGCAAGGUGACUGUGUCUUAGUCACUUUAAGGUCACUUCAAGUUAAAAAAAAAAAGAAGCUUGAUGGAUGAGGAAUGGGCCGCUCACACGCACCCUGAGAUGUGUACACGAGGCUGAGAGCAGAAGCCCCAUCAUCUAGGAAAAGACAAUUCACAGGCUCUGUCCUCUGGAUGUCUGCCCCCUGCAUUAGGACACUUCAAGUGAAAAAAAAAAAAAUCAACCAUGGAGUUCCCUGGUGGCUCAGAGAACUAAGGAUCCAGUGCUGUCACUGUUGUGACUCAGGUCCCAGCUGGGGUGUGGAUUCGAUCCCUGGCCCAGGGACUUCUGCAUGCCAGGAGCACAGCCAAAAAAAACACAAAAAAAGAUCAACGCUGAAUCAACUUCCAACUAGUUCAGCUGACAUGUACGUAACUUCUGGCUCUUGCUGGUGUAUUUUCUCACGUGAGGAAAUGGAUGAUCUCAUGGCUGCAACUUGACCCCUGAAUUUGUCCCAUGGACAAGAACUUCUGGCUGAUUUAGAUCAGGAUACCACAGAGUAUCAACCACCACAUUUUUUAAAACCGAAAUCGACAUUCCAAGAGGAGCAGGAGGGGAGGGGAGAGGUUCCCCGGUGCCAGGCACCAGGCUGCGGGGUGUGGACCAGUCUCAUUUCCCUUUUACUCACCAUCCUGAAGACGGAAUCUAACCCCCUCACUUUACAAAUGACAAAACGAAUCUCUAAGAGAUGAAAGAAUUAUAACAAGGUGACCUAAGGGGCCAGGUUGUAUCCAAGGAGCAGUGGAACCCAGGCUGCUGCUGCUACACCCGUGUCCUGUCUGCAGGAUUGAGCUACGGUCGUUUCCUCCCCGAGGAGCCAUUUCUCAACCCCACCAUAUAAUCCUACAAUCCUAAAAUUUCUGCUGGGACACAUCUUCAUGGGAACAGCGUCUCCAAGGACACAGACGCCCUCCACCCUCCCCGGCAGCUGGUGCCCCGUCAGUCUUGCUCCCCGUGGCUGCGGGGACAGCCCGUGUCCCAGUGACCCGAGGCUCCUCCUUCAGCCCCUCUGUCUUUAGCUACUCAGAAAACGUUUCCCCUUUUUCCUCUUGUGGGGGUCCCACUUAUGGUGACCUCCACAUUCUCCUAGUUCCUACAAUGAGUCUAUUCCAGGAUGUAGCACGGAAAUCCAUUCUUCUUCCUCUUAAUUUCUCCCCUGACAGUUCAAUCUCAGAAUCGGUCACCAAGGUUGUACUGAUAAUUCCAUAGCACGACCUUGUAAUUUGCUCACUUUAUCUCCACCUGGAUGCCCUCCUCUUGUGUCUGCCCUUCGUCUUAAUUAGCUGAUACCAUUUGUCUUUGAUGUUUUGGAUUUAAAUCUCUUUGUGUGUAACAGAUGCUCUCCCUCUUGCUAGAGACUCCACCACGCUGUAUUGCUUGUAUGAACUGGAUUCACACAUUUAUGUUGGUUACCUGGUAGCCAGUGUGGGCAUUUAAGUC
rnacentral:lncRNA from 1 species